UCGACCUCAGAUCAGGUAGGACUACCGCCUGAACUUAAGCAUAUCAAUAAGGCGAGGAAAAGAAACCAACCGGGAUUCCCCUAGUAGUGGCGAAUGAAGCGGGAAAAGCUCAAGUUUGAAAUCUGCAAAGGGUCCGUCCCGCAGAGUUGUAAGCUGAAGAGGCGUCGACCGACGCGGUCCGGGCGCAAUUUCCUUGGAACAGGAAGUCAUGGAGGGUGAGAACCCCGUGUGUCGCUCGGGUGCCGUUCGUCCUAGCGUCGUGCCCUCGAAGAGUCGGGUUGUUUGGGAAUGCAGCUCAAAAUGGGUGGUAAAUUCCAUCUAAGGCUAAAUACUGGUGAGAGACCGAUAGCAAACAAGUAGAGUGAUCGAAAGAUGAAAAGUACUUUGAAAAGAGAGUGAAACAGUACGUGAAAUUGUUGAAAGGGAAGCGUUUGGCAUCAGCCCGUGGCCCUAGGCGAUCAUCCGGACUUUUGCCCGGUGCACUCGCCUCGGGUCGGGCCAGCGUCGGCUCUGUCCGUCGGACAAAGGUCGGGGGGAUGUGGCACCCUUUCGGGGGUGUGUUAUAACCCUCGACGGCAUACGACGUGACGGGGCCGAGGUCUGCGGUUUCAUAACCUAGACGC
rnacentral:rRNA from 1 species